GGAGAGAUGGCUCAGAGCUUAAGAGCACUGCUGCUAUUUCAGAGGAUCUGGGUUCAAUUCCCUGCAUCUACA
rnacentral:tRNA from 1 species